rnacentral:rRNA from 1 species
AUGCCGGCUGGAGUCAAGUUCGAUCCCACGGAUCAGGAGCUGAUCGAGCACCUUGAGGCCAAAGUGAGUGCUGACAGCGCGAGAUCUCACCCUCUCAUCGAUUUGUUCAUACCAACCAUCGACAGCGAGCACGGCAUAUGCUACACCCAUCCUGAGAAACUUCCAGGUAUCACACUGAGUGGCCUAAGCAAGCAUUUCUUCCAGCACAAUUCCAGGGUGUUCAAAAGGGGCACGUGGACGCGUCGCAAGAUACAGUCGAAGUGCGGCAUGCACGCGAUGUGGCACAACACCGGCAAUAUCUUGCCGGUGAUGGUAAACGGCCGGCGGACGGGCAGCAAAAAGGUUCUGGUGCUGCACACCAACAAGAACUUCGACCAGCAGAGGACCAACUGGGUGAUGCACCAGUACCACCUCGGGGACCUGGAGCAAGAGAAGCAGCGGGAGAUGGUCCUCUGCAAGAUUUUCUACCAGACAAACCUUGGUAUUGGUACUUGUACUACCUUGUCGUCCGCAAGUUGGUCGAGCAAGUUUCAACUGGGCUGUAGACUGCCCAGGCUUGGUUUUGUUUUUAACAGGCCCAGCCCAUGA